CGGGGAGGUAGUGACAAUAAAUAACAAUGCGGGGCUCUUUUACGUCUCGUAAUUGGAAUGAGUACAAUUUAAAUUCCUUGACGAGGAACAAUUGGAGGGCAAGUCUGGUGCCAGCAGCCGCGGUAAUUCCAGCUCCAAUAGCGUAUAUUAAAGUUGUUGCAGUUAAAAAGCUCGUAGUUGAAUUUCGGGAUUGACGUGACGGUCAUGCCUUAAGGGGUAUGAACUGUUACAGUUGAUUUCUCACCUUCUGGAGAAACUUGAUGUCCUUUAUUGGGUGUCUUGCGGAUCCAGGACCUUUACCUUGAAAAAAUUAGAGUGUUUAAAGCAGGCAUUUUUGCUCGAAUACAUUAGCAUGGAAUAAUAGAAUAGGACGGCAUGGUUCUAUUUUGUUGGUUUCUAGGAUCACCGUAAUGAUUAAUAGGGAU
rnacentral:rRNA from 1 species